UGUCUUCUAUUAUGUGCCCAGCAAUCUGGUAGCCAUCAACACCUUGCUGAUAAACUGGAAAUCUUCACCUUCUUCCAUCCUCACCUCUCAAAUGACCCAUGAAAGAGUCUUGGAGAUCAAAGAAAUCCUCUUCCAUCCUUAUCCUUCAGACAGAGAGACUGAUGGGAUUUAGCACCCAUGUGGGAAUAUGAGCAUUGAUUUGAAGAACAAAGAAGCAACGACCUUUUGUCUGCUGCUGUCAUUCCCUGCUUCACCAUUAAGAUCCUAGGAUGACUGAUCUUCCUCUGUCCUUGAUAGAGCAAGCUCAUCCACAAAGCUGAAACUUGACCAAAAAUCAGCGCAUUCCCACCUAUCAGCAAACGGUACCCGCAAGAGGCAAACUGGAAUGACAUUGUGAAGGAAUCGGUUACAGCAGAGUCAUCUGCUGAAGGGAGGGAGAAUAGCUAUUGCUCGGCAAGGUGCAGAGCGUGGCAACUCCCCCUGUUGCUAAUGGGAGAAGAGGCUGCUGAGCUCCUCUCAGGAAUGUACUGUUUUAAUUUCUAAUUGAGUUAUUUGUUCACUUGUUAAAGAACUCAUCUCUUAGGGCAGUGACUCUCAAAGACAAUAAUAGUGGCCGCAUGCAGCCACCAGGGAAUUCAUUGCAGCCACAAGACAAAAACUCGCUCUGAUUGUUCAGUUCUGUUUUGACUUA